GGUAGCUGCGCUGUGACGUGAAAUGGGCAUUAGCCAAUGAAAUACGGCCCCUGUGGUAAGGUCCAUGUUUCUUUGUCAAUUACCAUAUUUUGUAUGUACUUGAAGUUCACGGUUCAAAAUUUCUACUUUCUCUUAACGGGAUUUGACAAGUAGGUGUCGUUUCCCAUAAGGUAACCUAUCAGGUUAGGGGGGCGGGACCUUGAUUCGGCGGCUUGGUGAAGAGAAGGUGAUAGUGGGAAAAGAUAAGGGUGAUAUGGCGGAGCUGCACGGAAGAUUUUCUUUUUGUAAGUUUAGCUGUUAUUUGUUUUAGUGUUAGUACUUUUAAUGUUACUUUUUGAUAUUAUUUAUUAUUAUGGAGAAAGAAAUUACUCAAUGCCUGUGAAGUGUCUGUUUGUAAACUGUUAGGAAUGAGACAUGGACGUUAGCUUCGAGCGGAAGCAUUACUCAUGGGCCAAAGGUUUUGCACCGAGUUCUUAAAGUUUAAAUAUUGCCUUAGAAUGUAUUUUUGGGCUUUGUAAUAUGUAUUAUGAGCUAAUUCGGGAUUUGUGUAAUGUCUUAAUAGUAAACUUAUGAGCUGCUCCUGAAACUGCGGCACAGGAUGCGCUCGCGGGCUCAUCCCUGCGUUUCCUGAGGUUUAACUCCUUUCCACGUGCAGACAACAGACUUGAAGGAGGCUGAAACUUCAUUGGUCCGGACAAAAGAGGAGCAUCCUAUCGACUGUCAGUUUUUAAGCUCUUGCCGAAGGAGACAUGGGAAGGCAUCAUUGGGGGAUUCUUCUCCACGUUGGUUUUUGGCUUCAUUGGGGAAAAAGUAAAAAAAGGUCUUUUGGACUAUGGGGAAAAGGCUUUUCUACCUUGACUCCCGGAGUUAGCCGUGACUGGAAACUGCUUACUGCUAGCUGCUGGGGGAGUGGCUGAGUAUGGAUUUCAUACCCCAACAAUCUUGGACUUUCCAGCAACACAAGUACGGAUAAGUACAGUUUCUUUUAUUCUGCCAUUUCAGAGGUAUGGCGUAUUGAAUUUAAAAAAUGGCUGAAGACAGUAGUGACCAACAUGUGCCUGAUGAGCUUGCCAGCAUUUUGGAUGAAAAACCUUCUGAUGACAGGCUGCAUGAGAGACUGGAGAAAGAAAAUGCAGAACUAAAACAGAUUGUUGAAAGUCUCCAAAGAAAGGUCGAGUCCUCCAAGUCUAGCGGAAGUGCUUGCAGAUGACCAGACCUGCAAGCAAAAUAUGAUAAGCUGGCAAGUGAAAACGAUGCACUCCAUGCACAGCUUGUGUCACUUCAUGUAAUGCAUGGGGAGACAGAGCAUGAAUACAUGGACAUGAGAGAUGCAGUGCAUUGUUUAGAAAUGGUCCAACAGUGUCUGAGAAGACGACCUCAGGAGCUUCGGACAGACUUGAAAAAGGCACAGCUGAGUGUGGAUCAGCAAUCCGAAGAGCUGGACAGUCUUUCCAAGGAACUGGACAAUCUCCAAAGGCAGCACAAAACAGAUUGUCAAGAAAUCCAGAACCAAAGCAGGCAGAACUUGGGUUUGAUGACCAGAAGAGCAGGAGCAGCAGGAGAACCAGGGAGUAAGAUUAGCUGUGGUAGGAGUUGGCAAGAGGGUAGAUGCAGGUUUCCAGACAAUGUCCGGAACGGGAAGACAGAGGUAGUGGACGGCACUGUGGACUUUGGCAAGCAAGCAAGGUCUUACUUCUGUUGAUUCUGGUUGCUAGGUAACAAACAACUGUUGCCGUUUUGGAUUGACACACACAUUUGUGAG